CCUACGGGAGGCAGCAGUGGGGAAUAUUGCAAAAUGGGGGAAACCCUGAUGCAGCGACGCCGCGUGUGGGAAGACGGUCUUCUGGAUUGUAAACCACUGUCCCCAGAGAAGAAAAUGACGGUACCUGGGGAGGAAGCUCCGGCUAACUACGUGCCAGCAGCCGCGGUAAUACGUAGGGAGCAAGCGUUGUCCGGAAUUACUGGGUGUAAAGGGAGCGUAGGCGGGGAUGCAAGUUGGGUGUCAAAACUACCGGCUCAACCGAUAGUCGCACUCAAAACUGCAACUCUUGAGUGAAGUAGAGGCAGGCGGAAUUCCUAGUGUAGCGGUGAAAUGCGUAGAUAUUAGGAGGAACACCAGUGGCGAAGGCGGCCUGCUGGGCUUUUACUGACGCUGAGGCUCGAAAGUGUGGGGAGCAAACAGGAUUAGAUACCCGAGUAGUC
rnacentral:rRNA from 1 species